GACGAACGCUGGCGGCGUGCUUAACACAUGCAAGUCGAACGGAAAGGCCCUGCUUUUGUGGGGUGCUCGAGUGGCGAACGGGUGAGUAACACGUGAGUAACCUGCCCUUGACUUUGGGAUAACUUCAGGAAACUGGGGCUAAUACCGGAUAGGAGCUCCUGCUGCAUGGUGGGGGUUGGAAAGUUUCGGCGGUUGGGGAUGGACUCGCGGCUUAUCAGCUUGUUGGUGGGGUAGUGGCUUACCAAGGCUUUGACGGGUAGCCGGCCUGAGAGGGUGACCGGCCACAAUGGGACUGAGAUACGGCCCAGACGCGUACGGGAGGCAGCAGGGGGGAGUAUUGCACAAUGGGCGGGAGCCGGAUGCAGCGACGCCGCGUGCGGGAUGACGGCCUUCGGGUUGUAAACCGCUUUCGCCUGUGACGAAGCGUGAGUGACGGUAAUGGGUAAAGAAGCACCGGCUAACUACGUG
rnacentral:rRNA from 1 species